UUAUUCAAGAUAAUCUUUCGGCUUUUGCUUCACCUUAUUUGCCAGGUAAUAAAUUAAACUGGCAGUGGAACGAUAAAAAGUUGUUCAUCCAAUUUGAUUUCCUAACAUUUGCAUAGUCAAUCAAAUAGUCUGAAGAUAAAUUAUAGUCUGGACUUAGCAGUAAAAAUAAUGGUGAAGCUCUCAAUGUUCACUAUUAUGAUGGUGUAAAUCAAAAAGCAACUUCCGGUGAUCACACACUGCAGCUAAAUACAGAAAUCAGGAAGCUGCUAUUUUCCACACUGGUAUCUUGCCAAGACAAUCACCAUUAGAAUGCAUGGAACUGCAUAAGGUUGUUAUCCUCUAAACCCAUCAGAAAAAGUUAAGACUUGUCCACUGCAGUGUAAUUGGAAUUUCAAAGGCAUGAUUAUUGCCAACCACAUUUAUAAGUGUGAAGUCUUCAUUACUACAGGUUUUAAUUUUGUAUGAGAUUUUAAAAACCCUAGUCUUUGUUUAUCUCUUAUAUCUCCAUCUCUUAGUCCCAUCUUUCUUUUUCUCUGCAUAUUUUCUUUUCUGUACAGGAUUCAGUUUUGAAUUAACUAUUCCAAUUCAAGCUUCCUGAUUUAGAUUUUGCAUAUUAAGAAUUAGUCAGUCAUGUUGUUUAAGGAGAUACAAUUGCUUCCCCAGUUUGUACACAUUCUAGAGCCCCAGUAGGAGGUAUUGCACUGAAAUGAAUUUGUAAUUUCUGGCUGAAUUUUACCACAAAUGAUCUACUCCUAUUUGUGUCAAUUUUGGCGAGUUUCGUGGAGGGUAAGCCCUUUGUAAACCCUUACACAUUUUCUCAUGCUAUGGUCCACAAUUCAUCUCAUUAGCUGUGCAAAUACUUCUACAGGUCACUUCCUUCUCAUGAGAAGUGGAAAUUCUUGCCACUGCUGGGACCUUGCCUGCUGCUGGUGCCAUUUUAAAGCCCAGCUGUGCACAAAGUCAAGUGCUGUCAGCCAGACUUUGCCCUUCAAAGUACGUGUAAUGAGGGAGGAACCAAACAAAAAUCUCUGAGGACACGUCAGAGAUGUGCAUGAGGGUGCAGUGAGGCUGGUACACGUCUGAUGCCAGCUUUUGUGUAUGGGAGGUGCAGGCAGUCACUGCCUAUGGAAUGUGUCCUGAGAUGUUGAGGAAGGCUGUACAACAUGGAGGAACAAGCUGCAAGCUGGAAUUGUCAGAGCCUGAGCAGAAUGCAGCAUACCAGACUCACCAACAAUUGAAGUAGAGUCCACUUUCGAACCCACACCUGGGCACUCAGCUGUACCCUUAAGACAAUCCUGUAUCUCAAGUCAGCAAUCGCUUGAUAAGAGAGCUCAGAGAAUUUCCAUGACCUUUCUCCGGGUCUGGGGCUACCAAGAGAAAAACAGCAGCUGCCCAGUGAUGCAUGAUGGAGCCACUGUUAGUAUGAGACUGACUUUUUUCCCAGCACAGAAGAAACUGUGUACUGUCCAAAUUAAUAAAACUGAUUAUUAUUCAUUAUUAGCACUGAGGGUUUGUUCUCUUUAAUUGCAUAGCACUGUAAUUUCUGGGUUGAGAUAUACAAUUUGCAAAAUUUCUAACAUCUAGACAUUCAACCUCAUUGUAAAUGGAAUUAGAGCUAUCAUUUCAUGUCUGCCUUAUAUAC